rnacentral:rRNA from 1 species
CCCUUAGAUGUCCUGGGCCGCACGCGCGUUACACUGAUGCAUUCAACGAGCUUAUAACCUUGGCCGAGAGGCCUGGGCAAUCUUGUUAACGUGUAUCGUGAUGGGGAUAGAUUAUUGAAAUUAUUAAUCUUGAACGAGGAAUUCCUAGUAAACGCAGAUCAUCAAUCUGCAUUGAUUACGUCCCUGCCCUUUGUACACACCGCCCGUCGCACCUACCGAUUGGAUGGUCCGGUGAAGCCUCGGGAUUGUGGUUCUUGCCGCUUUAUUGUGGCGUGACCGCGAGAACUUGUCUAAACCUUAUCAUCUAGAGGAAGGUGAAGUCGUAACA